UGGUACCAAAUUGGUAUGCAUCUUUAUACCAUACCAAUUGUCAAUAUGCCUGGCCAUCUUGUACUAUACUAUCUACCAAUAUUGUAAUAAAAUGGUACCGAUAUGGGAUUCAAUACUGAGAUGGUGAGAACCUUGAUCAGUAUUAAUAAAGACUAGCAAAUACUGCACAUAGAAACAUGAGCAUUCCAAGCAUUUAACUAAAUGAGAUUAAGUGAUGCAAGCCUUCUAUGAUAGCUUAACACAAAAGAUGUUCUAUGAUGCUGCGCUUGUUGGCAUAAAACAUGGAGCAACUGAGAUCAGUAAGUCCACUGAAUCAUUUGCUCUAUUUAUUUGGUGUAUGUAAUACUAAUUUUUCCUGUAUUGAUGUCUGCAGGACUUCCAGGAACUGAGGAUCACAAUUCAGAAGAGACAGGAGGAUGCUGCUGCUAGUUUAAAUAGUUUAUGGGUACUCAACCAGCACUUAGACUAAAUGCAGCAUUAUAUUUUGCUCAGGGACAUGUUGUUUUAUGUUCAUGUCGUGGCAAUAUAUAAAGAGUUCAACAAGAUUAUUUGACUUCAUAUCAGCUAGAAAACUCUGAAAAAACUCGGGCUAAGUCAUAGGAACAUGUAACAAAAUUGGAGUUAUUUGUGGGCUGUCCUCUACCUGUAAG
rnacentral:lncRNA from 1 species